UUUAUCAGAGAGUUUGAUCCUGGCUCAGGAUGAACGCUGGCGGCGUGCUUAACACAUGCAAGUCGAACGGGAAACCUUUUAUUGA
rnacentral:rRNA from 1 species